GUGGACGGAGAAAGGUCUGUGUCCAGAGAGGCACUUAGUGCUGAGGAGCUGCCCGAAUUGCCCCGGGGCACGGUACCCCCCCCAAGCCGCCGCCGCCACCCCUGACCUGACGUUUUGUUGGUGCUUUUUGAAGGGGACGCCACGUCAGGAGGUGAGAAGAAAACCUGAUGCCCCCCCCCAAGCACGUUUCUUUUGGAGAAACAUGUGGCCUGUAGAGCUUCGUUUGGGACGAGGAGAGGUGACUGUUUCCAGGAGGUGAAAAACGUCAGGAACGGCUUAGGUCAGAGCGUCCCCAAGUAACUGGAGGCACUCUUGCUUAUGACUGUUGUUGCUGUGCUGAAAACCCACGGGUUGAAGUACUGCCUCACGAUAACAUAGAUGGCAAUAUGAGAUACAGAUCUAGAGAGAUCUGUAGGACUAAAGCAAUGCCCUGCUUAGGGGCGCAGUCCCUCGGAGUGUUUGAGGAUGAGCAGUGUCACCUGAGGGCGGACAGCAGUGGCUCUCGUGGGAUGGCUGCACCGACUGAAGGCAGACGAAAUUCUGGCGUUCGUCAAAUCACGUCAGCACGGUUGUGGUGGAGCAAGUGCCAGCAGAGGUCACGAUCCUCGUCUCCUGUCGACCCUCAGCACAUCCUGGUAUCCAAGAGAGCCCUGAACAUUCCAGGCAGGCCAAGAGUUGUGCCCCAGUAUCUCUGAGAGUCCACAGCUCUGCAGUUCUCCAGUAGGGCACUACAG